rnacentral:rRNA from 1 species
UACAGAGGUCUCAACCGUUGUUCGGAUUCAUUGGGCGUAAAGGGUGCGUAGGCGGUCGGGUAAGUCGGAUGUGAAAUCUCAGGGCUCAACCCUGAAACUGCAUUCGAUACUGCUUGCUAGGGUACUGGAGAGGAGACUGGAAUUUACGGUGUAGCAGUGAAAUGCGUAGAUAUCGUAAGGAAGACCAGUGGCGAAGGCGAGUCUCUGGACAGUUACCGACGCUGAGGCACGAAGGUCAGGGGAGCAAACGGG